rnacentral:rRNA from 1 species
UACCGCAUACGAUCUAAGGAUGAAAGCGGGGGACUCGCAAGAGCCUCGCGCGAUUGGAGCGGCCGAUAUCAGAUUAGGUAGUUGGUGGGGUAAAGGCUCACCAAGCCAACGAUCUGUAGCUGGUCUGAGAGGACGACCAGCCACACUGGAACUGAGACACGGUCCAGACUCCUACGGGAGGCAGCAGUGGGGAAUUUUGGACAAUGGACGCAAGUCUGAUCCAGCCAUUCCGCGUGCAGGAUGAAGGCCCUCGGGUUGUAAACUGCUUUUGUACGGAACGAAAAGGUCUCUAUUAAUACUAGGGGCUCAUGACGGUACCGUAAGAAUAAGCACCGGCUAACUACGUG